GAUUAACGCUAGCGGCAGGCUUAAUACAUGCAAGUCGAACGGUAAGGUCUCUUCGGAGAUACACGAGUGGCGCACGGGUGCGUAACGCGUAUGCAACCUACCUUAAACUAGAGGAUAGCCCCGAGAAAUCGGGAUUAAUACUUUAUAAUAAUAAUUUCCGGCAUCGGAGAAUAUUUAAAGCUCCGGCGGUUUAAGAUGGGCAUGCGUGACAUUAGCUAGUUGGCGAGGUAACGGCUCACCAAGGCAACGAUGUCUAGGGGUUCUGAGAGGAUUUUCCCCCACACUGGUACUGAGACACGGACCAGACUCCUACGGGUGGCAG
rnacentral:rRNA from 1 species